CCUCUGGAAGGAGUAUGGCCCUGCCUACAGCUUGAUUUGGAUUUCUGGCCCCUAGAACUGUGAGAGAACAACUGUCUGCUGUGAAAAGUGACCUAGGUUUGUGGGAAUUCGUUACAGCAGCCCCAGAAAAUGGAACAGCUGCUAAGUGAGACUCCUCAGCCAGGCCAGAGAAUGUGCAUUCUGAUGGACUGCUUCUCAUUUGCACUGAUCACUGUGAGUGUCUGAUGGGUGGGCAUCCGGCGCCCAGAGAAGGAGUUGCUCUGUUAUCCUGGCACUCCAUAAAGAACAGGUAGAAAUAAGCGCUUCUUACCAAGAUGAAAUCCACCCAUCAUUUCUGAAUGGCUCAGUUUUGAUUUCAUCUCCCAAGGUCUUCUUUCUGAAACCAGCCCAACUUUUCUCCCAGAGAGUAUCACGGAACUGAACUUUCAGGAUCAUGGCAUCUGGACGUCGAGAAAACAGAACCCUCAUCUGGCCACCUGCUGCUUUUUGACCAAUUCCCAUAUGAACCGCUAACUUCAGUCAGUUGGAGGGAUGGAUUUGAGAUUUGCCUUCUGUCUCUCAGCUGAUGUCACCAGCAAUAAAGCCUUCUUCCCUGGCAA